UGUUUCCACCACUUCACGCGGUUUUACAUAUUCCUUACUUGUGCAAUUUGUUUGUUUCUUUUUCAAUUCAAUUUUGUUUCUCCUUCUAGCCUCUCGCGUCGGUUCUUGUUCCUUUCGUGGCGUUUGGUGCUUUCAAUCCUUGCAUUCCAUAUUUUAAUUUUUUGUAAAUAUUUUUCAAUCCGUUUUUUGUUUGGUUUUCAGUUCACGAAGGGGACGUUCGUGAGACGAUUGGUGAUCCUUCAACGACCUAAAUUUUGUAUAAUUGUUACCCCUUUAGUGGCAAGGGUUUCAUCAAUUAUGUUUUGGAAGGUGUGGAAUUAUUCGGUUGUGGAAUUACAUCAGAAAAUAUUCAGGCUUAGGCGGGUCAAUGCAAUCGGGAGCUCCAUUAAUGUUAUAAUAUAUUUAAAUUCAAUUUAUCUAAAUUUUGGUAUUUGAGUUUUAUAAA